GAUGAACGCUGGCGGCGUGCCUAAUACAUGCCAGUCGAACGAACGGACGAGAAGCUUGCUUCUCUGAUGUUAGCCGCGGGCGGGUGAGUAACACGUGGAUCCCCUCCCUAUAAGACUGGCCUAACUUCGUGAGACCGUAGCUAGUACCGGAUAAUAUUUUGAACGGCAUGGUUCAAAAGUUAAAGACGUUCUUUCUGUCCCUUAUCGAUCGACCCGCGCUGCAUGUGCUAGUUGGUAAGGUAACGGCUUAGUAAGGCAACGAUGCAUAGCCGACCUGAGAGGGUGAUCGGCCACACUGGAACUGAGACACGGUCCAGACUCCGACGGGAGGCAGCAGUAGGGAAUCUUCCGAAAUGGGCGAAAGCCUGACGGAGCAACGCCGCGUGGGUGAUGAAGGGCUUCGGAUCGUAAAACUCUGUUAUUAGGGAAGAACAUAUGUGUAAGUAACUGUGCACAUCGUGACGGUACCUAAUCAGAAAGCCACGGCUAACUACGUG
rnacentral:rRNA from 1 species